UACGUAGGGCGCGAGCGUUGUCCGGAUUUAUUGGGCGUAAAGAGCUCGUAGGCGGCUUGUCGCGUCGUCCGUGAAAACCCAUGGCUCAACUGUGGGCUUGCGGUCGAUACGGGCAGGCUGGAGUUCGGUAGGGGAGACUGGAAUUCCUGGUGUAGCGGUGAAAUGCGCAGAUAUCAGGAGGAACACCGGUGGCGAAGGCGGCAUCCCUGGACCGAUAUUGACGCUGAGGAGCGAAAGCUAGGGGAGCAAACGGG
rnacentral:rRNA from 1 species